rnacentral:rRNA from 1 species
UACGUAGGGUGCAAGCGUUGUCCGGAAUUAUUGGGCGUAAAGAGCUCGUAGGCGGUUUGUCGCGUCUGCCGUGAAAGUCCGGGGCUCAACUCCGGAUCUGCGGUGGGUACGGGCAGACUAGAGUGAUGUAGGGGAGACUGGAAUUCCUGGUGUAGCGGUGAAAUGCGUAGAUAUCAGGAGGAAUACCGGUGGCGAAAGCGACUCUCUGGACGGCAACUGACGCUGAGGCACGAAAGCGUGGGGAGCAAACAGG